AGCCACCAGCGAGAUUCGAACUCGCGCCCCCUGGUUUACGAGACCAGUGCUCUAGCCUCUGAGAUAUAGUGGC
rnacentral:tRNA from 13 species